rnacentral:rRNA from 1 species
UACGAAGGGGGCUAGCGUUGCUCGGAAUCACUGGGCGUAAAGGGGUGCGUAGGCGGGUCUUUUAAGUCAGGGGUGAAAUCCUGGAGCUCAACUCCAGAACUGCCUUUGAUACUGAAGAUCUUGAGUUCGGGAGAGGUGAGUGGAACUGCGAGUGUAGAGGUGAAAUUCGUAGAUAUUCGCAAGAACACCGGUGGCGAAGGCGGCUCACUGGCCCGGGUACUG